rnacentral:rRNA from 1 species
UACGUAGGGUCCGAGCGUUGUCCGGAUUUAUUGGGCGUAAAGGGCUCGUAGGUGGCCAACUAAGUCAGACGUGAAAUCCCUCGGCUUAACCGGGGAACUGCGUCUGAUACUGGAUGGCUUGAGUUCGGGAGAGGGAUGCGGAAUUCCAGGUGUAGCGGUGAAAUGCGUAGAUAUCUGGAGGAACACCGGUGGCGAAGGCGGCAUCCUGGACCGACACUGACACUGAGGAGCGAAAGCCAGGGGAGCAAACGGG